rnacentral:rRNA from 1 species
GGAUUAUCGUCAUCGCUGCGACAAACCGUUCAGAUGUACUUGAUCCUGCCCUUUUGCGUCCAGGACGUUUUGAUAGAAAAGUAUUGGUUGGCCGUCCUGAUGUUAAAGGUCGUGAAGCAAUCUUGAAAGUUCACGCUAAGAACAAGCCUUUAGCAGAAGAUGUUGAUUUGAAAUUAGUGGCUCAACAAACUCCAGGCUUUGUUGGUGCUGAUUUAGAGAAUGUCUUGAAUGAAGCAGCUUUAGUUGCUGCUCGUCGCAAUAAAUCGAUAAUUGAUGCUUCAGAUAUUGAUGAAGCAGAAGAUAGAGUUAUUGCUGGACCUUCUAAGAAAGAUAAGACAGUUUCACAAAAAGAACGAGAAUUGGUUGCUUACCAUGAGGCAGGACAUACCAUUGUUGGUCUAGUCUUGUCGAAUGCUCGCGUUGUCCAUAAGGUUACAAUUGUACCACGCGGCCGUGCAGGCGGAUACAUGAUUGCACUUCCUAAAGAGGAUCAAAUGCUUCUAUCUAAAGAAGAUAUGAAAGAGCAAUUGGCUGGCUUAAUGGGUGGACGUGUAGCUGAAGAAAUUAUCUUUAAUGUCCAAACUACAGGAGCUUCAAACGACUUUGAACAAGCGACACAAAUGGCACGUGCAAUGGUUACAGAGUACGGUAUGAGUGAAAAACUUGGCCCAGUACAAUAUGAAGGAAACCAUGCUAUGUUUGGUGCACAGAAUCCUCAAAAAUCAAUUUCAGAACAAACAGCUUAUGAAAUUGAUGAAGAGGUUCGUUCAUUAUUAAAUGAGGCACGAAAUAAAGCUGCUGAAAUUAUUCAGUCAAAUCGUGAAACUCACAAGUUAAUUGCAGAAGCAUUAUUGAAAUACGAAACAUUGGAUAGUACACAAAUUAAAGCUCUUUACGAAACAGGAAAGAUGCCUGAAGCAGUAGAAGAGGAAUCUCAUGCACUAUCCUAUGAUGAAGUAAAGUCAAAAAUGAAUGACGAAAAAUAACCCUGAGAGAGGCUGGAGCCUCUCUUUUUUGUGCAGUUUAGGAGCUAAAGGGAACAGAAUGGAGAAAAUGGAACAAAUGUGUUUUCUAAUCUGUUAGACUGUAUCUAGAAAGGGGAAAAUUAUGAUUAAAGAAUUGUAUGAAGAAGUCCAAGGGACUGUGUAUAAGUGUAGAAAUGAAUAUUACCUUCAUUUAUGGGAAUUAUCGGAUUGGGACCAAGAAGGCAUGCUCUGCUUACAUGAAUUGAUUAGUAGAGAAGAAGGACUGGUAGACGAUAUUCCACGUUUAAGGAAAUAUUUCAAAACCAAGUUUCGAAAUCGAAUUUUAGACUAUAUCCGUAAGCAGGAAAGUCAGAAGCGUAGAUACGAUAAAGAACCCUAUGAAGAAGUGGGUGAGCUCAGUCAUCGUAUAAGUGAGGGGGGUCUCUGGCUAGAUGAUUAUUAUCUCUUUCAUGAAACACUAAGAGAUUAUAGAAACAAACAAAGUAAAGAGAAACAAGAAGAACUAGAACGUGUCUUAAGCAAUGAACGAUUUCGAGGGCGUCAAAGAGUAUUAAGAGACUUACGCAUUGUGUUUAAGGAGUUUACUAUCCGUACCCACUAGGAAGUCAUGCAAAAAAAAUGAAAAAAAUUAGAAAAAGUAGUUGACAAAGUUUGAAAAGACUGUAUAAUAGUAAGAGUUGAAAAUAACAACUCAGGUCCGUUGGUCAAGGGGUUAAGACACCGCCUUUUCAGGCUCACCAAGGCGACGAUACAUAGCCGACCUGAGAGGGUGAUCGGCCACACUGGGACUGAGACACGGCCCAGACUCCUACGGGAGGCAGCAGUAGGGAAUCUUCGGCAAUGGACGGAAGUCUGACCGAGCAACGCCGCGUGAGUGAAGAAGGUUUUCGGAUCGUAAAGCUCUGUUGUAAGAGAAGAACGAGUGUGAGAGUGGAAAGUUCACACUGUGACGGUAUCUUACCAGAAAGGGACGGCUAACUACGUGCCAGCAGCCGCGGUAAUACGUAGGUCCCGAGCGUUGUCCGGAUUUAUUGGGCGUAAAGCGAGCGCAGGCGGUUAGAUAAGUCUGAAGUUAAAGGCUGUGGCUUAACCAUAGUAGGCUUUGGAAACUGUUUAACUUGAGUGCAAGAGGGGAGAGUGGAAUUCCAUGUGUAGCGGUGAAAUGCGUAGAUAUAUGGAGGAACACCGGUGGCGAAAGCGGCUCUCUGGCUUGUAACUGACGCUGAGGCUCGAAAGCGUGGGGAGCAAACAGGAUUAGAUACCCUGGUAGUCCACGCUGUAAACGAUGAGUGCUAGGUGUUAGACCCUUUCCGGGGUUUAGUGCCGUAGCUAACGCAUUAAGCACUCCGCCUGGGGAGUACGACCGCAAGGUUGAAACUCAAAGGAAUUGACGGGGGCCCGCACAAGCGGUGGAGCAUGUGGUUUAAUUCGAAGCAACGCGAAGAACCUUACCAGGUCUUGACAUCCCUCUGACCGCUCUAGAGAUAGAGUUUUCCUUCGGGACAGAGGUGACAGGUGGUGCAUGGUUGUCGUCAGCUCGUGUCGUGAGAUGUUGGGUUAAGUCCCGCAACGAGCGCAACCCCUAUUGUUAGUUGCCAUCAUUUAGUUGGGCACUCUAGCGAGACUGCCGGUAAUAAACCGGAGGAAGGUGGGGAUGACGUCAAAUCAUCAUGCCCCUUAUGACCUGGGCUACACACGUGCUACAAUGGCUGGUACAACGAGUCGCAAGCCGGUGACGGCAAGCUAAUCUCUUAAAGCCAGUCUCAGUUCGGAUUGUAGGCUGCAACUCGCCUACAUGAAGUCGGAAUCGCUAGUAAUCGCGGAUCAGCACGCCGCGGUGAAUACGUUCCCGGGCCUUGUACACACCGCCCGUCACACCACGAGAGUUUGUAACACCCGAAGUCGGUGAGGUAACCGUAAGGAGCCAGCCGCCUAAGGUGGGAUAGAUGAUUGGGGUGAAGUCGUAACAAGGUAGCCGUAUCGGAAGGUGCGGCUGGAUCACCU